rnacentral:rRNA from 1 species
UUGAUUACGUCCCUGCCCUUUGUACACACUGCCCGUCGCUGCCCGGGACUGAGUUGUUUCGAGAAAAGCGGAGACUGCUUCCCUGAGCGUUUUCGGACGUGAAUUGAGGCGAGAACCGCGUUAAUCGAAACGGCUUGAACCGGGCAAAAGUCGUAACAAGGUUUCCGUAGGUGAACCUGCGGAAGGAUCAUUAUUGAGCUUA